AGAGCGAACGCUGGCGGCAGGCCUAAUACAUGCAAGUCGAACGGAUCCUUCGGGAUUAGUGGCGGACGGGUGAGUAACACGUGGGAACGUACCCUUUGGUUCGGAACAACUCAGGGAAACUUGAGCUAAUACCGAAUGUGCCCUUCGGGGAAAAGAUUUAUCGCCAUUGGAGCGGCCCGCGUCUGAUUAGCUAGUUGGUAGGGUAAAGGCCUACCAAGGCUACGAUCAGUAGCUGGUCUGAGAGGAUGAUCAGCCACACUGGGACUGAGACACGGCCCAGACUCCUACGGGAGGCAGCAGUAGGGAAUCUUGCGCAAUGGGCGAAAGCCUGACGCAGCCAUGCCGCGUGAAUGAUGAAGGUCUUAGGAUUGUAAAAUUCUUUCAGCGGGGACGAUAAUGACGGUACCCGCAGAAGAAGCCCCGGCUAACUUCGUGCCAGCCAGCCGC
rnacentral:rRNA from 1 species